UUGCUACCACUGUUGACGGGGAUUAUCAGAUAUAUCCGAAAGUGUAGUUAGGAAAAUGUCAGCAGUGUUGCUGAGGUGAAUGUGGUGGUGUUCAAGAUUGUACGUAACACGGUUCAACGUUAUGGGGAGUGUACUUUUCAUCGUUGCCUUAGUCAUAGGCAUCCACGUGAAAUGUUGUUCAUUUCAUGAUAUUUCACAUUUAUCAGUAGAUGAUGUCACCUCAAUGUUUGGAGAUAAUGAAUGCAUUGAAGGUUCACUCAUCGAUUUUCAACCAUCUUCAACGAUGCCUCCGACAGCUUUUGCAUAUGAAGAUCUUCAAGCAAUGCUGAAGAAGUUAGGAGGAAGAGUUGCUCAGGAGUGGGCACCAUCAAUAUCAGGCAUAUAUAGUGCAUUCUUAUCAGAAAACAUGACAAAAGCAGGGGUGUAUACUGAAACAAAAACAAAGACAAAAUCAGCAACAAAAUCAACCAGAAGUGAAUACAGUGCUUCAGACUUCAGUGGAAAAACACCUAUGUCAGUUGUCAAUGAGCUGUCACUUUUAAUGAAGGUUCGACCUGAGUACUCUUUGAUAGAUAUGCAGGGACCACCUCAUGAGAGAACUUUCACUGUUAGUUUAAAAUUUGGAGGUGAAGAGUAUUCUGCUUCUGGUUCAAGCAUUAAAAAAGCACAACAGUUGGUGGCAAAUAAGUUUCUUCAGCACACACUUUAUCAGCAACCUCUACAGCAAUUGGCUCACAAACAACAAAUGCGUAAAAGUAAUAUUGGAACAAAAACAGCAACAUCUAUAGUCUAUGAAAUCGCAGCCAAGCAGAAGUUAUCUCUCACUUUUGAAGUGGAAAGUCAAACAGGUCCAGCACAUAUGCCUACAUUUGUGACAAGAUGUGUAUUGGGGGACAAAAUCUCAAGAGGACAAGCCAACAGUAAAAAGUUGUCAAAGAGAGCAGCAGCUGAGAAAAUGCUGGAAUUAGUCCAAUAUAAUGAGUCAUAUUCCUUUCUGUCAAACUCAAUGAAGAGGAAGUCUAAGAAGAAGCGACGUUCAUCUCAAAAGAAGAAAAGAACUCGCAGUAUUCUCAAUACUUUUGAACAGAUGAAUCCCAGUUUUCGGACAGAUGAAACAAUUGCAGCAGUAAUGAAUUCAGAGUUUUGGGAUGUUUCCAGUGACAACAACAAAGGUUUGAAUCAAAGAUUGGUAGCAUUUGCAAAGCAGCUGGUGAAGAGUGGAAGUUCCUUUCUUGGUGAGCCUACUGUGAAGUCAACACUUACAGACACGUCUUCCACCUUCAGCUCCAAAUCACAAACAUCACAAGACCAAAAAGUUACUGCAAAACACACAUUGAUGCAAGCAGCUGAUUUAUUGGAUUUUAAAGUUCAUUUCGUAGAUUUGCCUAAGCCUAAUGAUGAAUUCUUAAGUUUGGUAUCAUUGGCAACAAACCAGCCUUCACUUUGUCUCGGUGUUGGAUCAACAGUUGAUGCCUCACAGGAACAGGCUGCCCUGAGAGCUUUGAAGGCCUUGUGGAAACUGGAUGUGGAACAAAUCUCGUCUAACUCUGCUCCCAAUAAAACGAUGGGCUGGGGAGACUGGUUUCAGUGGUCAGAAGAAAUGGUGCAAAGUGCUCGGAAUGCCUUCCACAUUAAAUAAGAUAGUACAUUCAGUGUCCUUGGUAGGUUGUAAUAUAGUUACACCUAAAAACUGUUGUCUUGGUCUUGGGUGGCCCUGCUAUGACACAUGUGAAUGAAAUGAGGAUACUUUGUGUGUCCACCAUGCUGGCCAAGCAAGAGAUUUACCAUCUUGAGAUCAAUGCACAUAAACCACUGGUGCUCCUGAUAAUGAAGAUUCUCCAAAUGCAUUUUGAUACGUCAUAUUUUUCAGUAAGUUGUGUUGAGUGCACUAACAUUGCCAACACAGAAAGAUUUAUUCUGCUAAACUGAAGUUAAAAUUCUGCUAAAAUCCGCUAAAUGCCUAUUAUUAUUAUUAUUAUUAUUAUUA
rnacentral:misc_RNA from 1 species